rnacentral:tRNA from 1 species
GCCGAUGUAACUCAGUCUGGUUAGAGUGCUACGCUCAUAACGUAGAAGCCGGGGGUUCAGAUCCCCCCAUCGGCA